AGCCAUAUGUGUAGCCAUACCUGAGCUAGUUCCAAAAAUAAUUUCAAUGAAGCUGCAGUAGCACCAGCUGUACAACACUGAGUGGGACUUGGCUUCAUUGCUAUUGUUACUCGAGCUAGCGAAAUCAAAGCUAACUCCUCCUGUCUACGUGUGCUGUAGCCAUACCUCUGACUGCAGUGCAGCGACUUAGUUAUAUAUGUGCAACUGUGAGCAGACUCUUAUAGUUUCUCAUGGGAGAUCAUUUUAAGAGACUGAAUAUUGAUGAUGUGACGCACACUGGCUAAAAGAAGAAAAUUCCAACCUCAGCUUGAUAGUUGGGGUACUUUUUCAAAGGGCUGCACAAAAAGGUUAACUUCGUCUCUUCCAUUUGACACUAAUGGAAUUGACUCAAGUCUCAAUAAGCUAUUCUAAGAGGGUAAAAUUCACCUUACUUACAAGGCUAACAUCGUACCUCUGAACAAUGUAAGUCUGACUGCAUUCCUGAUGAGAUGAACUUAGAAUGGUGUCAUUUGGCUUAACCAGAGAGAGAGAUUCUCUGUUGACUCACCUGCCGUAGUUGUGUCCUCUGGACCACCAAGAACCUGUUUGGUAUCUAGGCUGUACUCAUGUGUCAGAUGAACAUUCACAUGCUAAGCACAACCAGAUGGUGCAGGAUUCUGGCAGCUGGUUAUGUUGACUCUGAUGAUUGGCCAACAGUCGGUAGAGAUACCCAGAGUUGGCAUUACUGAGUAUCAUGUCAGGCCCCCAAAAUCAUGAGAUUUUUUUAAAAAAAAAAAUAAGUAAUUGUGAAGGUUUUUUUUGUCCUCUGAUUCCUUAGCCUCCAUGACAUAAUUUGGUCACGUUUUCAACCUUUUCUCUCCAACCAUGAGAGCUGGAAGCUUACAUUUUAUUAACAAUGGCUGAGAUUAUGCCCUAAUUAUACAAUACCAGCAGCUGGGAAAAACUCACAAGAGUCAUAAAAUCAAGAGAGCCAGUCACAGUGAAUACCAGUCCUGUGCAAUUCUUUGAAAUGUUCAUUCUUCAUGGCAUUCUGGAAAAUGCAACCCGACACUAUCUCAAAGAGCUUUGUGUGUUCUCCUGGUGAGACUGCCUGGAAAAUGGUAUGUCCCAACAAGAGCAGUGCAAGUGUCUCCUCCCUGGUUCUCAUCACCGACUCCAUUGGGAUGUACUGUCUGUAGUUAUCGGCCUGUAGAGUGAAGGAGUACUCUUAUCCUUCAGAGAUCUCGGUACCUCUUUCAAAGCAGUUGAAAUGUGGAUUCAGGAUUUAUUGUACAGUAUGUAUGUUACUGCCAAAAUGCAGAAGACGGAGCUGCAAGGCAAGAAACCGCACACUCAUACCACCUUGUGCUAACCAGAGGUAGGACUUACUUAGCAGACUUAAUAUUUUGGAUGUUAGACUUGGCAGGUAAUGGUGAAGGAGGAAUGGUAACUCAAUAGGUCUCAGUGAGAACUGUUUGCUGCUUAGGACUCUUGAAAAUCAGGCAGGUGCCUAAAUAUGGUAUCCAGGAGCCCAACUUCAGGCUCCUGUUUUAGAAAAUCUUGGCACCUGAUUAAAUUCCUUGUGCACUUUCAAUUGGACACUAUAUUCUUUUUCAUUUCCUGCCAUAGGUUGAGGUGCAGGGUUAAUUACAAAAUUUCACCGCAGUAGGUGCAUUUCAGUGGCAGGUGCAGCAAUCCCUAAACAUAGGACUAGGCACAAGACCUGAGUAAGGGGCGGUGCUACCCCAGCAGCAGGCCAGAAGGAGGCGGAGAGGUACGCUAUGCUUCCUGCUUCCAGCCCUGCUCUUGCUCUGGAGGGGAAGUCAUCUGUGGCAGCCCUAUAGCUUGCCUGAGUACUGUGCCUUCUCAGCUGCAUUAGCUGGCAUGUUUGGGGGGAGGAAGAAACAGACACCACCCACUCUUUGCCCACACGUGCAGAAAGGAAAGUAGCAGCUGUACCCAGGCUACACCACCUGCAGCAAUGCCGUGACCCACAAUAAGCACAACCUGUACAGGGAAGGAAGGGAAUGUGGGCUCGUGCCAUGUGUCACCGUUGCACCCACAGCAUGCAUAUCCGUUCUGAAAAGCCUUUUGGGUUGCUAAAAGGUUCUAUACAAAUGCGAAGGACUGUGGAAUUUAAUCUGCAAAGGUCACCAUGACGAGCAAGGACUCGGAAUCAAGGAGAUCAAAAGGCAAGGAAAUGAAGAAACAGGAGAGUGGGGAGAAAAAACAGGAGAGUGGGGAGAAAAGCAAACAGGAGAAGGCACAACCAGCCCCGUGACCUUUCCUUUAGACUAGGCUUCUGCUCUCCUUUUCAGUCCCUCAGAGGGGGUAUGCAGACCCCCACUGGGCUCCUGGGGGUUAAAAGGCAAUACUGGAUUCAGAUAGCCCUACCCCUCCAGUCUGCGAAGCAUGCUCCAUCUGGAGGAGCAGGUUAACAGGAGCUCAGAAGGCCAGAUAAAGGGCUGCUGGGCAGGUUGCAGGAGAGACAAAGCUUCACCUGAGAGGCCAGACAGAAGGUGGAGCCUGAGAAGGGACCACAGAGCGGGUAGGGGCCACAGGCAGAACCUUCUCCAACCACCCCCCACUUGGAGAAUCGGCAGCUUCUGCAGAGCCCUGCUCACUUGGACUCUUUGUUACUCUACUGACUGUUUGGGCUGUAGGAGCCACGCCCCAAACUGAAGGAGCACAAAGGUAGGAAACAGCCCAGGGUGGCAGAUGUAGGCUCUCUGCAGGGAAGACCCUGCUGAUGUUGCUUUCCACAGGACCCUGGGUGGGACCCGAUGGAGAGGGAGGGCCUGGGUCUCCCUAACACCCUCCCCCUUAAGGGCAAAGUCCCAGGUGUGGGUGGAGUCCAAAACACUCCUACCCUAAGACCUGGAAAUAGGCAUAUCUACAGCUCCCUGAUAAAGAGCCAAGGGGCUGGAGGUCAGAUGUGCUUACUGCUAGGCCACCUGGCCCUCUGAGCACCCAAUUGUACUCUCUGCUAUGCCCUCCCUUAUAUUCAGCAGUUGUGUUUGGUAACAAGGUUACAUAGGGAGGAGUCAUUUGCUCAGGUCUGGCCAGAAGAAUACCAGAUGCAUCAUAAGGGAACAUUGGACUAGCUGCUGAAGCUCCGAACUAUAGGACUGGACAACAGGCCAGGUUCUGAUCACAUUUAUGACCACUUGUCUCUCUAGUGUAACAUCAUCAGCUUCAAUUCAGUUGCGCCUAAGUGACUCUAUUGGUUUGAAUGGAUUUGCACCUGUUUACACCAGAACUGAUUUGACCCUUUUUCCUUACCUGACCUACUUUUCCCAUUGCUGACUUAAAAUGGAUGUUUGCAUUUGUAUUAGCAACCAGAUUCCACUGUAGUAAGCCGCAUUAUAAAGGAGUGAAAUACAUAGACACA